GCCAGGUGUGGUAGUAUGCACCUGUAAUCCCAGCAGCUUGGGAGGCUGAGGCAGGAGGAUCAAGAGUUCAAAGCCAGCCUUAGCAAUUUAGUGAGGCCCUAAGCAACUCAGUGAGACCCUGUCUCUA
rnacentral:sRNA from 1 species